rnacentral:tRNA from 1 species
CAUUAGAUGGCCGAAAGUAAGCAAUGGAAUUUUAAACCAUAAUAUAGUAGCGACCACCUACUUCUAAUG